rnacentral:lncRNA from 1 species
AACAUUCAUUGCGACCGUGGAAGUAGAAUGACUAUUAGUCCUCAAUAGCUACUACUUCAGUCGCUGUAUAAACAAAAUACAUGUCCUUCCAUGAAUUAGACCGUAAGAUAACUGCAAAUUGUCUGAGUGAAAGUCUUUAUCAAAAGAAAUGUUCUCUGUUACUGUAAUCUGAUCAUCUAAUGACUAUUUCCUUCUUCUAGUUCAUUUCAUCGUUGAAUAAUGCAUACGGUGAAUAUCCCCCCAAAAUAGGGUGGAAGCGAUGACUAACGUGUACGUAUAAACUAAUGCAAAUAUCUGUCCAAGUUCAUUGGGCAAUUACAUUGACUAAUUGAAACUUUCGACGUGAUAUUCGAUACGUUUUCAAUCUAACGAUAACUUUAAUUGUAAAAAUCUGUCAUAUCGCCUCAUGCUAGGAAUGUCUUCACUGUACCUUUAACAUACGUUUUACAU